rnacentral:rRNA from 1 species
CGGGAGGCAGCAGCCAGGAAUCUUGGGCAAUGGGCGAAAGCCUGACCCAGCAACACCGUGUGGGCGACGAAGGCCUUAGGGUCGUAAAGCCCUGUUGAUAGGGACGAAGGGCGAAGGGUUAAUAGCCCCUAGCUUGACGGUACCUUUCGAGGAAGCCCCGGCUAACUACGUGCCAGCAGCCGCGGUAAUACGUAGGGGGCGAGCGUUGUCCGGAAUUAUUGGGCGUAAAGAGCGUGUAGGCGGUUCGGUAAGUCUGCUGUGAAAUCCUGGGGCUCAACCCUGGGCGUGCAGCGGAUACUGCCGGGCUAGAGGGUGGUAGAGGCGAGUGGAAUUCCGAGUGUAGCGGUGAAAUGCGCAGAUAUUCGGAGGAACACCAGUAGCGAAGGCGGCUCGCUGGGCCACACCUGACGCUGAGACGCGAAAGCGUGGGGAGCGAACAGGAUUAGAUACCCUGGUAGUCCACGCCGUAAACGAUGGAUACUGGGUGUGGGCGGAGUCGAAUCUGUCUGUGCCGAAGUUAACGCGUUAAGUAUCCCGCCUGGGGAGUACGGCCGCAAGGCUAAAACUCAAAGGAAUUGACGG